GUUAUCAGCUUUAGGAAUGAAAUCAUCCACAGAGCAAGAAUAUAACCGGUAGUAGCAGUGCAAGGUUCUCUAAACUGCUCACCAGUGUGCAUCAACCUUGUUCUGGAAGGAUCUCUUCUAAGAAUGAGAGGGUAGUUCAGUCUUUGUCCUUUCAGUCUUAGGUCUAA
ensembl:misc_RNA